UUUUGCAACACAUUUGUCUUCUAUCUCACACUAGGCACUUCAUUAAAUAGUUGAUGCAUGUGUGAACAAAUGAAUAAAUGAAAGCGGCAUUCAUUGGAAUCAAGUUUUGAUGGGAUCCAGAGAUAAUACAAAACAUAAACUUCCCAGUUGAAUCAGUGGAUUUAAGGUAGUUACCUGCCUUUCAGAGAGGUUACUUAACAGCAAACACUACAGAAACGUCCUGCAGUUCAUCCGCCUGCAUUGCCUUCAGUCUGAACCCUGACUCUUCAAUCACAGCGGACUCAUUUGGAAUCACACAAAUUAAAAGGAGUUUCAGAAAUGGUGUUCAAACAAACAAGAAAACCUUUCCCUGGAGAAAAUGAACUUCAUCAUCUGAUGGACCAGAACAUUGUUCAGAAGGACAAAACUCCACUUGAGAUAAGUCACGAGUUCCCCUGGUUACUACUGCAUUUUAUAAAUCAUUGAGAUUUUAUUUAGCAUAUAAUUUUAUCAAUUUGUUACCAAAUGUUAUAAUUUAUACACUUCUAUUUUGUUUACUUUAUUAA